rnacentral:rRNA from 1 species
AUGCACGCUGGCGGCGUGCCUCAUCCCUGCAAGUCGAGCGAACAGACGAGGAGCUUGCUCCUCUGACGUUAGCGGCGGACGGGUGAGUAACACGUGGAUAACCUACCUAUAAGACUGGGAUAACUUCGGGAAACCGGAGCUAAUACCGGAUAAUAUAUUGAACCGCAUGGUUCAAUAGUGAAAGACGGUUUUGCUGUCACUUAUAGAUGGAUCCGCGCCGCAUUAGCUAGUUGGUAAGGUAACGGCUUACCAAGGCAACGAUGCGUAGCCGACCUGAGAGGGUGAUCGGCCACACUGGAACUGAGACACGGUCCAGACUCUUACGGGAGGCAGCAGUAGGGAAUCUUCCGCAAUGGGCGAAAGCCUGACGGAGCAACGCCGCGUGAGUGAUGAAGGUCUUCGGAUCGUAAAACUCUGUUAUUAGGGAAGAACAAAUGUGUAAGUAACUAUGCACGUCUUGACGGUACCUAAUCAGAAAGCCACGGCUAACUACGUG